AAUAAGCUAAAUAAGGGCGUAUGGGGAAUGCCUAGGCUCUCAGAGGCGAAGAAGGACGUGAUAAGCUGCGAAAAGUUGCGGGGAUUGGCACAUACAAAUUGAUCCGCAAAUAUCCGAAUGGGGCAACCCACUAUGUUGAAGACAUAGUACCUAGCAAUAGGAGUGAACCCGGGGAACUGAAACAUCUAA
rnacentral:rRNA from 1 species